ACACCGCCAGUCAGGAGUCAGGGCGUCUGCCCUUUUUUUUUUUUUUUACGUAUCUAAGCACAUCCCUGACCGCCCGGGGACACGCUAUAAAUGUUCGCUUCUUAUUGUACACGGUGACCAGGGAUUCCCAUUCAUUUCACUGUAAUAGGUGUUGGCGUUUGAUAAGCCAUUGUUAAUCAAAGCUGAAAGCGAAAAGCGCCUGUCUCUCCGUAUGUCCGCAAAAUCCGCACUACAACAAAAUGGCCGCCGCUAUGCGCAAAAAGUGAGGGCGGCUCCCGCAGCCCCUCCCCGGAAGUGGCGCGUAGGCUAAUCCUGGAAGUGAUGAUAGGAAAAGAGCCAAUAACUUCCCUUCAAUGUGUUUUAAAGAAAGAAACAGGACUGUCCCCUGCUGGAAUGUAUGUAUUUGUGUGCAUCACAUGAUCACCUCUGCUGAGAUUUCCCGAGGGGGCACUUCUAGAAGAAACUGGAUCCAUAAUAAUUGCUAAUGCAAAGAGAGUGGAUAAGAUGACGGAGCGUAUACUGAACCUCACCCUAGAGAUCAUCUAUCUGCUGACCGGAGAGGAUUACAAAGUGGUGAAAAAGACAUCUGGUGAUCAUGUGACACCCAGCAACCAUUUAUCAGGGAGAUGGAGUUGGGGUCCCAUCAUAGAGCCUCCACCUCCCUCCCUGACACCUGAGAGAAACAAUGAUAUAAAGAUCCUAGAAGUCACCCGGAAGAUCACUGAGUUGCUGACGGGAGAGGUGAGCGGUGCCGGGAAUU